UGUUCCUCCGCGGCUGGGGGACUUGCUCUUCACUCCGGCGUCGGGUUCUAUGCGUGGUGCUCUCCGUGCACAGCCAGGACAGGGAGAGUGGGUCAGCAGGGGGCAAGGAUCAGCAUUUACAUCACGCUCCCCAUCAGUACCCAGCCCAAGCCAGGGAAGCUAAUGAUCUAAUCAGUGGACCAAAUGUGGUGAUGAAUCCUGGUCAUGAGCCACUUGAGGCACAUCACUGUGCGUAUGCUGAGAAGAAGCGAGUCAGCUCUAUUGGCAGAUGCUGAGUGUUGUGGGGCCAAAGUUCUGUUUCCAAUACACCAGGCAGCUGAUGGUACAACUGAUGGUGCCCUAAAAAACUGAGAAGCAGCCCACCAAUAACAGACUGUCUCCACUCUGACUAUAACUCCCUGCCUAAAUGUAUGCCACUGACUUGAUAUUGUCCAUCCUGAAGUCAGAGAGGAACUGAGGCAGCUGCUUAGAGAGAGAGCCAGGAUGCCACGGGAAGGAGAUCUGUUCUAGAGGGAAAGCUUUCUGAGGCAAGAGAAGCCUGUGUUAAAUCAGGACAGCUUCCCAUGCAUCUGUUCCCAAAUGGGACCAAUAAUCGGAACCAGCUCUGCGACCUGUUUGUGAACAGUGCACGGGCCGCAAAGUGCCAGCUGUCCCCUUGGGACUCCUCUAACUGUGCAUUUGUGCAGGAGUGCAGGCAAGAAAAACUACCUGGGUUAAGAUGGAUAUGAUCUUUCAACCCAGCUCUGACUGCAAUAUUAUGCAAAAUAUUGCUCGAGAAAUGGAAACGCUUCAAGGUGAUUCUUCUCAGGAUUGCUGGUUGGAGUGAGUGACCUUGGGCAGCAGCACUGGAGAGACCCAGCUGUUCAUUUCUGUGUCAUUCUGUAUCUAUGGCCUCCCCAGGUGCACAGAUACAGGCCUGGCCUCUUGCACAGGUAGAAAACAGUGCUCACAGCACCACAUCCACAGACAGCUCCACUGGGUUCCUCUUCGCUGCAUGCUCCAUUUCAGGAAUUACAUGGAGGCCAGAUUGGGCUGGCUCGAUGCUUGGAGCAUCCAUGCCCAUAUCUACCCUUCCCCACUCUCUCCCCUUUCUUCAGACCCCACCAAGGGCUCCCCACUGGUGAGGGGAUUUGCAAAAGAGGCAGGAGAAGGGGUGUGUGUGUGUGUGUGUGUGUGUGUGUAGGGGGACUUGUUGGUGGCAUUGGAGUGGGAUGCGUAUUGUCUCUAUCACUCCAGCACCCUUUGAAACAGGCAACAGAGGGAUGUUUAUGCAGCCUAUGGCAGCCCUGCUUUAAGUCAUCAGGCAGCUCACUGACUGGGGAGUGAGGACAGAGCUUCAGGGGGCUGAGAGCUGAUAGAAGGAACUGGGCUUUAACCUGGUGGCCCCAUAUCCUGGUGGAUCUAUGGUGAUCUGUGGGCCAGAAUCCUGCUUUCUUCUGUGUGGGGAGCAAGCCCCACCUCCUAGCCUUCCCAGGGGUAGAAUCCAGAGGGAGCUCUGCAAGGGGCCCCCCUACAUGGGUAUCUGGCAGAUGGGCACAAUCCAGCCCUUUAGCUUUUAUACUGGCCAAGAGGAGGCCACACAGAACUCAAAGAAGGGCAGGGGAGGGCUUCAUAACUCAAGGAGUCUCUUUCAUCAGGCUGCUCUAUGAGCAGGGGUGUGUGUGGUGCAGCGGUGGCUCAGUCAGCAGAUUGGAAGGCCAGUGAGAGAGAAGCCCCAGGCGUGUCUCCUCUCACAAACUGGAAUUCUAUAAAAACUAUACCUUGUGGUGCCUAUCAGAUCUCUACUUUGUCAAGUUUCAGAGUAGCAGCCAUGUUAGUCUGUAUUCACAAGAAGAAAAGGAGGACUUGUGGCACCUUAGAGACUAACACAUUUAUUUGAGCAUAAGCUUUCG